GACGAACGCUGGCGGCGUGCUUAACACAUGCAAGUCGAACGGAAAGGCCCUGCUUUUGUGGGGUGCUCGAGUUGCGAACUGGUGAGUAACACGUGAGUAACCUGCCCUUGACUUUGGGAUAACUUCAGGAAACUGGGGCUAAUACCGGAUAGGAGCUCCUGCUGCAUGGUGGGGGUUGGAAAGUUUCGGCGGUUGGGGAUGGACUCGCGGCUUAUCAGCUUGUUGGUGGGGUAGUGGCUUACCAAGGCUUUGACGGGUAGCCGGCCUGAGAGGGUGACCGGCCACAUUGGGACUGAGAUACGGCCCAGACUCCUACGGGAGGCAGCAGUGGGGAAUAUUGCACAAUGGGCGGAAGCCUGAUGCAGCAAAGCCGCGUGCGGGAUGACGGCCUUCGGGUUGUAAACCGCUGUCGCCUGUGACGAAGCGUGAGUGACGGUAAUGGGUAAAGAAGCACCGGCUAACUACGUG
rnacentral:rRNA from 1 species